rnacentral:rRNA from 1 species
CAGUAGCCGCGGGAAUACGUAGGUGGCAAGCGUUGUCCGGAAUUAUUGGGCGUAAAGCGCGCGCAGGCGGAUAGGUCAGUCUGUCUUAAAAGUUCGGGGCUUAACCCCGUGAUGAGAUGGAAACUGCCAAUCUAGAGUAUCGGAGAGGAAAGUGGAAUUCCUAGUGUAGCGGUGAAAUGCGUAGAUAUUAGGAAGAACACCAGUGGCGAAGGCGACUUUCUGGACGAAAACUGACGCUGAGGCGCGAAAGCCAGGGGAGCGAACGGGAUUAGAUACCCGCGUAGUCCCUGUCUCUUAUACC